GGCUAUGGUCAUACCACCCUGAACACACCAAGUCUUGUCUAAUCUCAUAAGUUAAGCAUGGUUGGGCCUGAUUAAUAGUAAUUGAAUGGGAGAAAUGAUCUUGGGGACCAUUUCUG
ensembl:rRNA 5S_rRNA 5S ribosomal RNA